rnacentral:rRNA from 1 species
UACGGAGGGAGCUAGCGUUGUUCGGAAUUACUGGGCGUAAAGCGCACGUCGGCGGCUUUGUCAGUUAGAGGUGAAAGCCCGGGGCUCAACUCCGGAACUGCCUUUAAGACUGCAUCGCUUGAAUCCGGGAGAGGUGAGUGGAAUUCCGAGUGUAGAGGUGAAAUUCGUAGAUAUUCGGAAGAACACCAGUGGCGAAGGCGGCUCACUGGACCGGUAUUGACGCUGAGGUGCGAAAGCGUGGGGAGCAAACAGG